UCUGCACUUCACCCGAUAAGGUGGAUUCCAGCUUCCUUCCUUGAUAUACCAGCACCCAAAUUCCAACUUCCAAAAUCAGAUGUCACCUUGAAAGGUGGAAUCCAGCUUGAUGAUGAUGUAUACCAGCACCCAUAUCCAACUUCCAAAAUCGGAUAUCACCUUGAAAGGUGGAUUCCAGCUUCAUGAUGAUGUAUACCAGCACCCAUACCCCAUUACAAUUCUGCACUUCACCCGAUAAGGUGGAUUCCAGCUUCCUUCCUUGAUAUACCAGCACCCAAAUUCCAACUUCCAAAAUCAGAUGUCACCUUGAAAGGUGGAUUCCAGCUUGAUGAUGAUGUAUACCAGCACCCAUACCCAAUUACAAUUCUGCACUUCACCUGAUAAGGUGGAUUCCAGCUUCCUUCCUUGAUAUACCAGCACCCAAAUUCCAACUUCCAAAUUCCAACUUUCAGCUUCCAACUUCCAAAAUCAGACGUCACCUUGAAAGUAGGAUUCCGGCUUGAUGAUGAUGUAUACCAGCACCCAAAUUCCAGCUUCCAAAAUCAGAUGUCAUCUUGAAAGGUGGAUUCCAGCUUCCUUCCUUGAUAUAGCAGCACCCAAAUUCCAACUUCCAAAAUCAGAUGUCACCUUGAAAGGUGGAUUCCAGCUUGAUGAUGAUGUAUACCAGCACUCAUAUUCAUCUUAAACUCUGCAUUUCACCUGAUAAAGUGGAUUCCAGCUCCCUUCCCUGAUAUACCAGCACCCAAAUUCCAACUUCCAAAAUCAGACGUCACCUGUAUGGCUGAACAGGCAGCCAAAACCUUGCCUAGUAAACCUUAAGUCGGGUGGGGGAAGGGCAAAUUCUGAAUUUCAUACGCUUCAACGUCUACAGAUAAAGGGGACUACAUGACUGGAAAUAGGGAAAGAUGGGGAUCAGAUCAUUUUUGCAUGUCUGUCAGGAUGGAGAGAGGAGAGUUUCACAAAGUGAAGGCUCAGCAGCAGCUUAGUGAGUCCAUCGCAAAACUCUACUUUUACCAGAUGCUGAAAGCAGUCCAGGUGAGACAGACUAUAGUAUUAUGGUUGUUAUUGUUCCCAGAACACUGGAAAUACGGAAAGAUGGGGAUCGGAUUAUUUUUGCGUGUCUGUCUGUCAGGAUGGAGAGUGCAGAGUUCCACAAAGUGAAGGCUCAUCAGCAGCUUAGUGAGUCCAUUGCAAAACUCUACUUUUACCAGAUGUUGGGAGCAGUCCAGGAACAGGAUCAUCCACAGACUGCUGAAACCUGGCAUGAUGAGCUGCUGUUAUAUCAGCUCAUACUCUUGUGUACAUUGUACUUUUGAAAAAUAAAGAGAUUCUAAUAUAA